UACGGGGGGGGCAAGCGUUGUUCGGAAUUACUGGGCGUAAAGGGCUCGUAGGCGGCCAACUAAGUCGGACGUGAAAUCCCUCGGCUUAACCGGGGAACUGCGUCCGAUACUGGAUGGCUUGAGUUCGGGAGAGGGAUGCGGAAUUCCAGGUGUAGCGGUGAAAUGCGUAGAUAUCUGGAGGAACACCGGUGGCGAAGGCGGCAUCCUGGACCGACACUGACGCUGAACGGCGAAAGCUAGGGGAGCAAACGGG
rnacentral:rRNA from 1 species